CUGGCACUAUAGUGCCCUGAGGGUGCCCCCACCCUCAGGGUCCCCCUCCCGCCGGGCUCUGGGGAGAGGAAGGGGUUAAAAUCUUACCUUUCUCCAGCGCCGGGCGGGGAGCUCUCCUCCUCCUCCAUAGCAACGUCAUCGGCUGAAUGCGCAUGUGCGGCAGGAGCCGCGCGCACAUUCAGCCAGUUCAUAGGAAAGCAUUUACCAU